UGCACGCACGGUUAGUGACUAGUUCAAAUAGGAAAAGGAAAAGCAGAAAGACUCUUUGUUCCUCGUAACGUGAUUUGCAUCAUUCUCUCCUAUAAAACCCAAACAAGGAGAGAAUAGAAGAUAAGAGAAGAAGAAAAGAGAAGCAGAAAUGUCGGAACGAUUGACGCGUAUAGCGAUUGUGAGCUCCGAUAGGUGCAAGCCCAAGAAGUGCCGCCAGGAAUGCAAAAAAAGCUGCCCUGUUGUCAAAACCGGAAGACUCUGUAUUGAGGUUACUCCUGCAUCGAAGAUUGCUUUCAUAUCUGAGGAAUUGUGUAUUGGAUGUGGUAUCUGUGUCAAGAAAUGCCCGUUUGAAGCUAUUCAGAUCAUCAACUUGCCAAAAGAUCUGGACAAAGAUACAACCCAUCGCUACGGCCCUAACACUUUUAAAUUGCACAGGUUACCAGUCCCGAGACCUGGGCAAGUUCUUGGCCUGGUUGGAACUAAUGGCAUUGGGAAGUCCACUGCCCUCAAAGUUUUGGCUGGAAAACUGAAACCAAACCUCGGUCGCUUCAAUAAUCCUCCAGAUUGGCAGGAAAUCUUGACAUACUUCCGAGGAUCUGAGCUGCAGAAUUAUUUUACACGUAUUCUUGAAGAUAAUUUGAAGGCCAUUAUAAAGCCCCAGUAUGUUGAUCACAUUCCAAAAGCUGUUCAAGGUAAUGUAGGGCAGGUGCUGGACCAAAAGGAUGAGAGAGACAUGAAGUCAGAACUCUGCGCUGAUCUUCAGCUGAACCAGGUUAUAGACCGUAAUGUAGGGGAUUUGUCAGGAGGAGAGCUUCAGAGAUUUGCUAUUGCUGUUGUUGCUGUACAGAAUGCAGAAAUAUAUAUGUUUGAUGAACCUUCAAGUUACCUUGAUGUAAAACAGAGGCUUAAAGCUGCUCAAGUUGUCCGUUCUUUGCUCAGGCCUAAUAGCUAUGUAAUUGUUGUGGAGCAUGAUCUUAGCGUCCUGGAUUACUUGUCGGACUUCAUUUGCUGUUUAUAUGGGAAACCGGGAGCAUAUGGAGUUGUAACCCUUCCCUUCUCAGUCAGAGAAGGAAUCAAUAUCUUCUUGGCUGGAUUUGUUCCAACAGAAAAUUUACGUUUUCGGGAUGAAUCCCUUACCUUUAAGGUUGCUGAGACUCCACAAGAAAGUGCGGAGGAAAUUGAGACAUAUGCACGUUACAAAUACCCAACCAUGACCAAAACUCAAGGAAAUUUCAGGAUUCGUGUUGUUGAGGGUGAAUUUACUGAUUCUCAGAUUAUUGUGAUGCUGGGUGAGAAUGGGACUGGCAAAACAACAUUUAUCCGUAUGCUGGCUGGUUUACUGAAACCUGAUUCUGUAGAAGGUUCUGAUGUGGAGAUUCCUGAGUUUAAUGUUUCUUACAAGCCCCAGAAGAUCAGUCCAAAAUAUCCAUCCACUGUGCGGAACUUGCUAAUUUCAAAAAUACGUGAUUCAUACAUGCAUGCUCAGUUUGUGUCGGAUGUUAUGAAGCCUCUUCUUAUUGAACAAUUAAUGGAUCAAGAAGUUGUGAAUCUUUCUGGUGGAGAGUUGCAAAGAGUUGCAUUAUGCCUAUGCCUUGGGAAGCCUGCAGACAUUUAUCUGAUAGAUGAACCAAGUGCAUAUCUUGAUUCUGAGCAGCGUAUAGUUGCUUCAAAAGUCAUUAAGAGGUUUAUCCUUCAUGCAAAGAAAACUGCUUUCGUGGUUGAACAUGAUUUUAUAAUGGCAACUUAUCUGGCAGAUAGAGUUAUCGUGUAUGAGGGGAGGCCAUCGCUUGAUUGUAUCGCAAAUUCUCCACAGUCAUUGUUGACUGGGAUGAAUCUCUUCUUAUCUCAUUUGGAUAUCACAUUUAGAAGGGACCCAACUAAUUUCCGCCCUAGAAUCAACAAAUUGGAAUCAACCAAGGACAGGGAGCAGAAAUCUGCUGGGUCCUAUUAUUACCUGGAUGACUGACAAUUUUAAAUAGUUGCUUCUAUUUCAAAGUUUUAGUGCAUUGGUCUGAGCAGUGGGUUCUCAUUGAGCUAUUUAGAUGUGCGGGCAUCAGUUUGAGCAGUGGGAUCUCAAUAUGUUGACAAACGACAAGAUAUCCUCGCCGGUUGAAGGCAAAAUGUUGUACUUCUGGCUUAAAAUGAGUUUUCAGGCCAUGUUAUUUAUUGAUCAGUUUACUAUAUUUUCUCCUAUAGUGUGUUCACCAAUUUUGGUAUGACAUCAGGUCAGUGAAUCUGUAUGCCUAUUUUUCUUUUACCGCAUCAACGGUUGUAUUUAACUAGUUGAGGAACGGCGAAAAUGAUGUCAAUUGAGUUAUUGCUUCACAUGUUUUGACUUUUGUAAUUUCUGGGGUAAUAUUUAAAACAAUUCCACCAUAGUUUUUCUCUUGGAAAAAUUUACUGGAAUUGCUGAAUGUUUACUUAUAUAAUGUAAUUAGAAAGAUUUUUUGUUACUAAAAAUUGGUUGGGGUAAGUAGCUGGAUGUAGAGGGCAUGAUCUCAAGCAAAAACGUGAGCCUAGAGCUGGUGGCUUUUCAGCAGAGGUAAUUUGCAGAGUAGCUUGAGUUUGCCACACUAUGUAGUUAGCAAGAAUUGGAAAGAAUAGAGGAGAAUAACAUCUGUGAGUGUCACAACUGUUUUCCACCUCUCUCUCUCUCUCUUCCUUCCACUGAUGCGUUGUUUUGCAUUGCUUGCAGCAUUUGGAUAUCACAUUUAGAAGGGACCCAACUAAUUUCCGCCCUAGAAUCAACAAAUUGGAAUCAACCAAGGACAGGGAGCAGAAAUCUGCUGGGUCCUAUUAUUACCUGGGUGACUGACAAUUUUAAAUAGUUGCUUCGAUUUCAACGUUUUAGUGCAUUGGUCUGAGCAGUGGGUUCUCAAUGAGCUAUUUAGAUAUGUGGGAAUCGGUUUGAGCAGUGGGAUCUCAAUAUGUUGACAAACGACAAGAUGUCCUUCGCCUGUUGAAGGACUUCUGGCUUAAAAUGAGUUUUCAGGCCAUGUUAUUUAUUGAUGUCAGUUUACUAUAUUUUCUCCUAUAGUGUGUUCACCAAUUUUGGUAUGACAUUAGGUCAGUGAAUCUGUAUGCCUAUUUUUCUUUUAUAGCAUCAACGGUUGUAUUUAACUAGUUGAGGAACAGCAAAAAUGAUGUCAAUUGAUUUAUUGCUUUA